rnacentral:lncRNA from 1 species
CCUUGUCCUCAACAUAUUCCAACAUUUCAUGCAGCUCAACUACCUGCAAUUCACUGGCUUCUGCAACAGGUAACUUUCAUCGAUUUUGUUGGAUAUCUUUCAAGCCUGGAUUCAAAUAACUAGUUAAUUCGUUGUCAUUAUAUUCUUUCAGGUAACACACCUGGCUGUUCAUCAUCAGCUUGUGUCUACGGCAUUCAAUAUGGAGACUCAUCUUUCUCAGUUGGAAUCUUUGCUAAAGAAAAGCUCACCUUGACAUCAACUGAUGUGUUCGAUGACUUUCUAUUUGGUUGUGGCCAAAAUAACCAAGGUCUUUUCGGAGGGGCAGCCGGAUUGAUAGGACUUGGCCGAGAUAAAUUAUCUUUACC